UACGGGGGGGGCAAGCGUUGUUCGGAAUUACUGGGCGUAAAGGGCUCGUAGGUGGCCAACUAAGUCAGACGUGAAAUCCCCAGGCUUAACCUGGGAACUGCGUCUGAUACUGGAUGGCUUGAAUUCGGGAGAGGGAUGCAGAAUUCCAGGUGUAGCGGUGAAAUGCGUAGAUAUCUGGAGGAAUACCGGUGGCGAAGGCGGCAUCCUGGACCGAGAUUGACACUGAGGCGCGAAAGCCAGGGGAGCAAACGGG
rnacentral:rRNA from 1 species